GGGUGCUGGACUAUCUAUGGUCCUGCAGGUUUUGAAUGGUCGGGCCGCCAUUU
rnacentral:ncRNA from 1 species